rnacentral:rRNA from 1 species
UGGGGAAUAUUGCACAAUGGGCGCAAGCCUGAUGCAGCCAUGCCGCGUGUAUGAAGAAGGCCUUCGGGUUGUAAAGUACUUUCAGCGGGGAGGAAGGGAGUAAAGUUAAUACCUUUGCUCAUUGACGUUACCCGCAGAAGAAGCACCGGCUAACUCCGUGCCAGCAGCCGCGGUAAUACGGAGGGUGCAAGCGUUAAUCGGAAUUACUGGGCGUAAAGCGCACGCAGGCGGUUUGUUAAGUCAGAUGUGAAAUCCCCGGGCUCAACCUGGGAACUGCAUCUGAUACUGGCAAGCUUGAGUCUCGUAGAGGGGGGUAGAAUUCCAGGUGUAGCGGUGAAAUGCGUAGAGAGCUGGAGGAAUACCGGUGGCGAAGGCGGCCCCCUGGACGAAGACUGACGCUCAGGUGCGAAAGCGUGGGGAGCAAACAGG